AUUGACCAAGACUCCUCGACCCUAUAUCUUGUGCAAUUCACAACUCAAAUUUGUCUCCAAAAAAAAUGGUUAAAUCUUCUAUUUUGGGGUUGCUCGAUUGGGAUGGAGGACAAGUAGGAGGAUCGAUUCGUGCGUUUGGUAUGGGCGGAAUUGGAAAAAAACUUUGGCUAUUGAUAAUAUACGGUGUCAAUUGCCAAGACCAAUAAUCUUCAAAAUGAUGAGAAUGGUCUUCUAGAGUAAUGAUUAGGUUUUAAUUUAUAUGAUGUCGAGAGCUUGUGCGCGGAAUCAUUUUCUCUUCAAUCAUUUGAAGGAAACAAGCCGUGAACAACAACUUGAGAGAUUUAUUGGCCACCGGAGGUCAUUAUUUAUCACUUCAAGUCAUGCUUCCUCCAUCAUACCAGUCUCAAAGCAAGCAGUAAACUACCAUUCAAACUCAUGCUAGUUAAUUUUACUAGUACAUUUUAUUUUCAAUUAUGAGUUUUGAGAUUCGCUCAAUUUUAUUUAUAAAGCACGUAGUUAAGAAUUUCUAUUGGUGUAGAAAUUCGUGGUUGAAAUAAAUGUUGGUUGGUGCCUUAAUUAGUGAAGAAAGUCUUGGAUAAUUAAAGGGUGUAAUCUUGUCUUUGAUUCUUUGUAAAAUCCUACAUAUGGAGAAGGUGAAACUGUAAUUCUGACAGCAAGUCGGCCUGUAAAGUCUGCUAUUACAUGAGAUGAUUUUUUUUUAUGUCCAUAAAUUUCCAAGUGCUAUCACUUCA